ensembl:lncRNA
GCCGGGUCCGCGCUCUCUGCGGAAACGCGAGGGAUUUCGUCGCGGCGAGGAAGGGAGCGCGGGUCCGCGGGUGUCAGAGGAGCACAGGUGUCUGCUCCCCACUCUCUGGGUCUGCUGGCCACCUUGCCUCUGCAGAGCCCAGGCUGAAGAUCAUUGGUUCCAGCACAGACUGUGGCAAAGGAGGAAGACAGAGAGAAGACUCGGGAUGAGGAUCUCAAAGAACUCAGUGGCCAGAAAGCCUGGAAGCCCCUACCCACGAGGGAUGCACGUGAGAGACAGACAGGACAUGAGAAAGUACGGAGCACAAAUGCAGAGGAAGGGAAACUAUAUGAAUCGCACAUUGGAGCCAUGACUCUCACAGCCCUUUCCCGGCCCCAUCACCCACUGGGAAGUGCUCUGAAUGAAUGUUCUUUGUUGCUUCCUAUGCAUGGGUUUCUGCUACAGCUCCUUUUUCUGGUCCACAAUGACCUAGAAAUCCCAGCAGAUGCUCUCUAGACUCCCAAUUCACAGGUAUAACUGAAAGAAUAAAGAUUUUUAAACUAUUCCACUGACCCUGCUGUGAGGGCCAGUCCACCUCACAGCAAAGAAUAACAUCACAUGUUAUGGGAAAGUAGUCCACCUGGCCUCCAUAAGGCCUAGCUCAGCAUAAACUAUCCAGCCUCGAUAAGGCCUGGUUGAACAUUAGCCAUCUGGCCUCGUUAAGACCUGACUUGAUGUAAGCCAUCUGGCCUCGAUAAGGCCUGAUUUACCAGUCCUGAGAAAAAAAGAGUUGGGGUCAGCUCGCCCCAGAGGCAGGGUAGCUUGAAGUUGGACUGAGCCCAAGCUAGAUCAUGUGUGCCAAUGUAAACAAACUAGUGAAAUUGCUUUGCUUUGUGUGACUGUUGCCAACUACCUAUGUAAUUUUCCCUAUAAAUACCUUCCCCUAAUUGGGCUCGGGGUCAACUCCUCUGUCUCCUGUGUGAGAUAAGUGUCGUCCCCAGAGCUCUGGUGCCUCAAAUACACCUCUUGUUCAUUACAUCAA